AUGGGAGGUUGAUAACUAUCUUCUAAGUUACCUUGGAUGUCCAUUUUACUAGAGGACAUGGAUACAGGUAUUAAAUUACGGGUUUUCAGAAUUUUGCUUUGUAUCAGGGGGAUGAUGGUAACACAGGUAAGAUUCUUUUGAUUUUUCAAUCUGAUCCUUUCUCUGAUAGGGUUACUUUUCUGAUACGCAAUCCAUGCAGGGCACAAAACUCAUUUCAUGAGAAAUCCAUCCUUCCUGUUACAAAGGCAAAACAUUUGCUGUCCUUUCUCUAGGCAUCUUGUGGGGAAAAUAAACCAGUGUUUUCAGUGUGACAUGAUUUUCAAAUAAUAUACUUUUCUUCCCUUCAGGGAAACCAGGAACAACUGGUAACUGUCAUGGAGGAACGAAUGAUAGAAGUUGAACAGAAACUGAAACUAGUGAAAAGACUUCUUCAAGAGAAAGUGAAUCAGCUCAAAGAACAACUCUGCAAGAACACUAAGGCAGACGCAAUGGUGAAGGACUUGUAUGUUGAAAAUGCCCAGUUGUUGAAAGCUCUGGAAGUGACUGAACAGCGACAGAAAACAGCAGAGAAGAAAAAUUACCUCCUGGAGGAGAAGAUUGCCAGCCUCAGUAAUAUAGUUAGGAAUCUGACACCAGCGCCAUUGACUUCUACACCUCCUUUGAGGUCAUAGCCAAACCAAAGGGUACACUCACAUUUGUGCACUUUACUGAAAUAG
rnacentral:sRNA from 1 species